ACCGAGUGAGGGCUAGUUUGACUGUCGUUUUCGAAGUGGCGGCUGGCUUGACCGCAGUGUUAAACUGACCGCGAAGCCGUCAUUGCAUUAUUUCAAACCUUUCAUCUGUCUACGUUUUAUCUGUUUAUCUAUACCGCGUGCGAGCUGUUGUUAAUGGUUUCUGUUAUCUUUUGUCAUGUCGCAUCUUGAGGUGCGGACAGGGUGUGACCGUUUACCGUGAGCUUGAAGUGCGAGGCGGAGGCUGGAACAGCGGGCUCAAAUCUCUAUGCAUUGUGUUGUAAAGCCAAUUCCUGAAAGAAUGUUAAAAAAAUCUUGGGAGACCUGAUUUUCAUAGUGAGGAACUUAUACAGACUAGGACAAUGAUGGUGAAGUCAAUCAACCUUGCAGAGCACACAGUAAUCACCAGAGGGGGAUCUCCAGAUACUCCAGAUCUCCAUAUUCAGCUCAACGCCAAACUUAACAUGCAAGCAUACAAGACCACACACAAACAUGAUAUAAAUAACAUAACUCGUCACUGUUAUCAAACGCACAUACACACUCAUGCAUACAACACCACAAAUAUUAAAAACCAUAAAAAAAACCACUAGCCAUGUUGAUGGUUACUGUUGAUAUAAUGUUGUCAGAAUGUCUGUUGUUUAGUAUUGUUUAUUUGUUUUUGUUGUACAAUGAAAUUUACAUUUCUGAACUGCUGUAUGUUUCAUGUUUAAAUUCAUUCAGUGAAAAAAUAAAGCU